GCAAAAAAGCUAGCUCAAAUAUACCAAAUAAACGACCAACCAUAAAUAAUAGACAAAAACAAUAACUAAAGCAUUUUUCCACCUAAGUAUAGGCGAUAGAAAAG
rnacentral:rRNA from 1 species